UACGUAGGGGGGCAAGCGUUGUCCGGAUUUAUUGGGCGUAAAGAGCUCGUAGGCGGCUCGGUAAGUCGGAUGUGAAACCUCCAGGCUCAACCUGGAGACGCCAUCUGAUACUGCCGUGGCUUGAGUCCGGUAGAGGAGCAGGGAAUUCCUGGUGUAGCGGUGAAAUGCGCAGAUAUCAGGAGGAACACCGGUGGCGAAGGCGGGUCUCUGGGCCGAUACUGACGCUGAGGAGCGAAAGCGUGGGGAGCGAACAGG
rnacentral:rRNA from 1 species